GUCCCCCAAAGAAUCUGAAGUUACAGCAGUUUCUGCCUUGUCACUAAUCUGUGCUUCAGGAGACGUCCUUGGGUAUGCUUCCCAGGACAAGCAGGCCUGCCCUUCUGAAAAGAGAACCUGGAAACCUCCCAAGGGACCCAGAUCGCACAGCGAGGAAGCAAGGUGUGGGAGUUCUAGAUUUGAGUUCAAAGCCAACUCAGGAGAGAGGCCUAGGCCCUCCUAGACUGGGCAGCAGUUUCCUACUAAAGGUGUCAGAAGAGGACACUGGAUCACUUGGAAUUGUAGUUAUGGGUAGUUAUGAACCACCAUGUGGGUGCUGGCAACCAAGCAAAAAAUGGUAUUACCCUAUGAAAACUCAUCUCCAGAAGUCAAAGGACACUCCAUGGGUAG